GGGAGGCAGCAGUGGGGAAUCUUGCACAAUGGGGGAAACCCUGAUGCAGCGACGCCGCGUGAGCGAUGAAGCCCUUCGGGGUGUAAAGCUCUUUCGACGGGAACGAUAAUGACGGUACCCGGAGAAGAAGCUGCGGCUAACUACGUGCCAGCAGCCGCGGUAAUACGUAGGCAGCGAGCGUUGUUCGGAGUUACUGGGCGUAAAGAGUAUGUAGGCGGUUGCGCAAGUUUGGUGUGAAAUCUCCCGGCUUAACUGGGAGGGUGCGCCGAAAACUGCGCGGCUAGAGUGCGGGAGAGGAGAGCGGAAUUCCUGGUGUAGCGGUGAAAUGCGUAGAUAUCAGGAGGAACACCGGCGGUGUAGACGGCUCUCUGGACCGCGACUGACGCUGAGAUACGAAAGCGUGGGGAGCAAACAGGAUUAGAUACCCUGGU
rnacentral:rRNA from 1 species